rnacentral:rRNA from 1 species
UACGGAGGGAGCAAGCGUUGUUCGGAUUUACUGGGCGUAAAGGGCGCGUAGGCGGCCACCGCAAUCCGGUUGUGAAAUCUCUGGGCUUAACCCAGAACGGUCAGCUGAUACUGCGGGGCUAGAGUGCAGAAGGGGCAACUGGAAUUCUCGGUGUAGCGGUGAAAUGCGUAGAGAUCGGGAGGAACACCAGUGGCGAAGGCGGCUACCUGGACCAGCACUGACACUCAGACACGAAAGCGUGGGGAGCAAACAGG